rnacentral:rRNA from 1 species
UACGGAGGAUCUAAGCGUUAUCCGGAUUUAUUGGGUUUAAAGGGUGCGUAGGCGGCUUUUUAAGUCAGGGGUGAAAGACGGUAGCUUAACUAUCGCAGUGCCCUUGAUACUGAAGAGCUUGAAUAUACUUGAGGUAGGCGGAAUGUGACAAGUAGCGGUGAAAUGCAUAGAUAUGUCACAGAACACCAAUUGCGAAGGCAGCUUACUAAGGUAUGAUUGACGCUGAGGCACGAAAGCGUGGGGAUCAAACAGG